GACAGAGGGUGCAAACGUUGCUCGGAAUCACUGGGCGUAAAGGGCGUGUAGGCGGGAAGGAAAGUCAGAUGUGAAAUCCCCAGGCUCAACCUGGGAACUGCAUUUGAAACUCCCUUUCUUGAGUACCGGAGAGGAAAGUGGAAUUCCUGGUGUAGAGGUGAAAUUCGUAGAUAUUCGGAAGAACACCAGUGGCGAAGGCGACUCACUGGACAUGUAUUGACGCUGAGGUACGAAAGCGUGGGGAGCAAACAGG
rnacentral:rRNA from 1 species